AACGAACGCUGGCGGCAUGCCUAACACAUGCAAGUCGAACGAGAUCUUCGGGUCUAGUGGCGCACGGGUGCGUAACGCGUGGGAAUCUGCCCUUUGGUUCGGAAUAACAGUUGGAGACGACUGCUAAUACCGGAUGAUGACGAAAGUCCAAAGAUUUAUCGCCAGAGGAUGAGCCCGCGUAGGAUUAGCUAGCUGGUGUGGUAAAGGCGCACCAAGGCGACGAUCCUUAGCUGGUCGGAGAGGAGGAUCAGCCACACUGGGACUGAGACACGGCUCAGACUCCUAGGGGAGGCAGCAGUGGGGAAUAUUGGACAAUGGGCGAAAGCCUGAUGCAGCAAUGCCGCGUGGGUGAUGAAGGCCUUAGGGUUGUAAAGCUCUUUUACCCGGGAUGAUAAUGACAGUACCGGGAGAAUAAGCUCCGGCUAACUCCGUGCCAGCCGCCGCGGUAA
rnacentral:rRNA from 1 species